CCCUUCGGCCCUGAACCUCUGUCCCGUAGUCACAUCUUCGAACCGGAGCGUCAGUCGGCCUUCUUUGCACAUGUCCAAAUCACCGGAACCGAUUUUCUCUCAUCUUUCCUUCAAUUUCGGCUACUCCUACUUUACCUCGGAUAUUCUCAUUCUCAAUCUUAUCCUUUCUCGUGUGCCCACACAUCCCACGAAGCAUCCUCAUCUCCGCUACACCCAUUUUGUGUACGUGUUGAUGUUUCACCGCCCAAACAUUCUGUGCCAUACAAC
rnacentral:lncRNA from 1 species